AUUGAACGCUGGCGGCAGGCUUAACACAUGCAAGUCGAGCGGGGUGAUGGUGCUUGCACUAUCACUUAGCGGCGGACGGGUGAGUAAUGCUUAGGAAUCUGCCUAUUAGUGGGGGACAACAUCUCGAAAGGGAUGCUAAUACCGCAUACGUCCUACGGGAGAAAGCAGGGGAUCACUUGUGACCUUGUGCUAAUAGAUGAGCCUAAGUCGGAUUAGCUAGUUGGUGGGGUAAAGGCCUACCAAGGCGACGAUCUGUAGCGGGUCUGAGAGGAUGAGCCGCCACAGUGGGACUGAGACACGGCCCAGACUCCUAUGGGAGGCAGCAGUGUGGAAUAUUGGACAAUGGGGGGAACCCUGAUCCAGCCAUGCCGCGUGUGUGAAGAAGGCCUUAUGGUUGUAAAGCACUUUAAGCGAGGAGGAGGCUUACCUAGUUAAUACCUGGGAUAAGUGGACGUUACUCGCAGAAUAAGCACCGGCUAACUCUGUGCCAGCCGCCGCGGUAA
rnacentral:rRNA from 1 species